AUGCUCUUGGUCUCCAGGCGUUGCUGUGCCAUUUGCGCAAGCCCUGGCUCACAAAAUUCAGAGCUAGGAAGUUACUUUCCAAAGAUUCUUCAGGAGUCAGUGGACUCACAACACCCACAGAAUACUCCUCGUGUCCCCAGUUCACAACCAUCACGUGAAAGGGAGACCAAAUCCAUCCUUCGCUCCAAGAUCAAAGUCUCGUUGAACAACUUCCCAAACAUGCUUGGCCUCUUCAUCGGUUAGCUUGGAGAGGUCCAGCUUCCUCCCCAUCUUGCCCCAGCGGGGGUUGCUUCUGGUCCCGUUACCAGCGAUCCCGAGUGUUUGCUGUCCCCUGCCCUGGAAUGCUGAGGGAGAGGGAAGAGCUCAGCUCCACCUCCGUGGUUGCCUACACAAAUGGGGCAGAGACAGAGCUGUGGGCAGGCCAGCCGGCUCCUGCCAGCACCGCAGCCGGUCUGCCGGGCCAGCCUGCCUGCAAAGCCGGGUGGUGAGCGGCACUGGCACAGUGCCUAUCGACUGCGGGGACUCCUCGUCACCCGGACGAGCCGCCCUGCCUUUCCCCGGGGUCCUGCCCAGAGCUGCAGGCAGCUCCAGACCUUGUCCGCCUGGCUGGGCUUAAAGGAGAUGUUUGCUCUCAGAUUAGCUGCCUGAUUUAUGCAGGGUGCAGGAAUCAAACCAAACCUUCAAACGCUUGCCCGGGGCAGGCAGGCCACGGGGUUUGGGAGGGUGCUGAGCAUGCCCAGGAGGAGCUGCGCCUGCACACCCAGAGUGACCAGCUCCAUCGUGCGGGUCCUGCCCCGCCACAGCCCUCUGCUGCUCUCUCCUCGUCUCUUCCUUCUGUGUGAUACCGUUAAACCAACUUCCCCACCAAUAGCUGUGGAAGGAGAAAUCAAGAGCAUCUCUCUGGCUUCCCACCAGUAGAGGCGAAGCAGAGACUGGCUUCCCAUAUUUGCUAACCACUCUUAGAGCAACUAAGGAAACCGAGCUUUGCUUGGAGCUUAAUUAGGACGCAGUACUCCCCUCUUUUACAGUUAGUAAGAAAAGAUGUGACAGGAUUUUAAGAAAAACAUGUCACACACCCAAAGGGUUUUAUAUAUAUUACACUAAUCCAACUAAAACUGGUCUCCUGCUCAGUAAAACACAGUUUCUGUAAGCAGGCAUUCCCAAGGCCUUGGACAUUAUAUAAAGAAAUACAUUUCUCAUUUUAUCAGAGUAAAUAUCAAUAGCCACAACACUUUUCAAGCUCAACAGGUAUCUUAACAGAGAGCAAGAUGACAAAACUGAGGAGGAAAACCGUUCUGCCUGGUGGGACCAACCUUCCUGUGGCUCAGACACCGACUGCUCUUGCCCGUGAGUGCAGGGAAUUACCCACCCUGCUAACUGACUUCUAACAAAGAUGAAAGUCAGAGCCCGAAAAGGAUUUCGAAUCCAAACUUGGAUGCAUUUUGUGCAGAAAGGGUGAUGAUUACAGAUCCAAUGUUGAGCUUGGAUAUCAGGAAUGCGUGAUCUUCGCUGGAAGCCAGAAAUUGAUUUCUAGCUCCUCUUCCAGCAGUGAUGUGGUCCCAGCAAAAGCAAUUAGUCUUUUGGCAGGAGCCAGCCAUCAGCUGGGCUGCAACUUACAUAAGAGUAUUUGAGAGCCUGUGUGCGCCCCACUGUGUCUAAACCGAGGAGUGGGUCAAUAGAUACUAAUUAACAUCACAACGAUCCUCUGUUUCAGGGCCUGUCUGGACAAUCUUGCCCGGAGCUUGAAAGCUGAGGUUUGUGCUGCCCAGAUCCAAACGCUUUCUUCUCUGAAAGGAUAAAGAGGUUGCAUAAAGGCUGAAAGAUAUCGCCUGCUAUGCAACGAAAAUGUGAAAAAAGCAAGCGUUCAGCGGUGCCAAAACCUCCCCAAAGGGCUGCUUUAGCCAGAAAACCACCGCCUGAGAAAUGCCCCAGGUGCAGGUCCACAAAAUGAAUUUCAAGCAUUCUGUUGGCCUGGGAACGGUGUCUCUCUGGGGAAACUCUACUCCCUCAGCUCACCAGCAAAGAAAGGCUUUUCCUUCUGUCGAAGCAGUUAGUUGAAUUCAGCCCCAGCAACUACCAGCUUCCAGCAACCCUCUGCGCUGAGAAGGACAAUUAACCUUGAUUGCCCACAGCUCUUCCUCCAAUCAUGCAA